UACGAAGGGGGCUAGCGUUGCUCGGAAUCACUGGGCGUAAAGGGUGCGUAGGCGGGUCUUUAAGUCAGGGGUGAAAUCCUGGAGCUCAACUCCAGAACUGCCUUUGAUACUGAAGAUCUUGAGUCCGGGAGAGGUGAGUGGAACUGCGAGUGUAGAGGUGAAAUUCGUAGAUAUUCGCAAGAACACCAGUGGCGAAGGCGGCUCGCUGGCCCGAUACUGACGCUGAUGCACGAAAGCGUGGGGAGCAAACAGG
rnacentral:rRNA from 1 species